AUCUUCUCAUGGUUCGUAAGCAUGAUAAUGGGAUUUUCAUGCUCAUGUGUGCCACACGCCUCCCCCAAGCCUUGUUCCAGCAUCAGUGCAUUACCUGUCUGAAG